rnacentral:misc_RNA from 1 species
ACAACAUCACCUUUUUUGGAUUUUUUGUUAUUCCAAUCUAUCGAUUGCUUCACUAUAAUAACAUCACCUUUUUGGAAUUUUUAUUCCAAUCUAAAAAAUGUCGAUGAAACGGCAAUCGCAAGACGAUUCCAAGUCUACACUCGAUGCAGGUUCUUCUGAGGAUAAACGUCGCCGGAGUCUGCCUUCUUUCAGCAGUGUAAUUACAGAAGUAAUGAAUAUGAGUAAAGUGCAACAUUUUAUGGAGCCAGUUUUGGAGCCACUUAUUCGUAAAGUGGUAAAAGAGGAAGUUGAAUUGGCUCUCAGGAAGUACAUGACCACCAUUAAACGGAAUUGUGG